rnacentral:rRNA from 1 species
CACGUAGGGUGCGAGCGUUGUCCGGAAUUAUUGGGCGUAAAGAGCUCGUAGGCGGUUUGUUGCGUCGGCCGUGAAAACCUGCAGCUUAACUGUGGGCCUGCGGCCGAUACGGGCAGACUUGAGUUCGGUAGGGGAGACUGGAAUUCCUGGUGUAGCGGUGAAAUGCGCAGAUAUCAGGAGGAACACCGGUGGCGAAGGCGGGUCUCUGGGCCGAUACUGACGCUGAGGAGCGAAAGCGUGGGGAGCAAACAGG